GACGAACGCUGGCUGCGUGCUUAACACAUGCAAGUCGAACGCUGAAGCCUGGUGCUUGCACCGGGUGGAUGAGUGGCGAACGGGUGAGUAACACGUGAGUAACCUGCCCCUGACUUCGGGAUAAGCCCGGGAAACUGGGUCUAAUACCGGAUACGACUGCCGGACGCAUGUCUGGUGGUGGAAAGUUUUUUCGGUUGGGGAUGGGCUCGCGGCCUAUCAGUUUGUUGGUGAGGUAAUGGCUCACCAAGACGACGACGGGUAGCCGGCCUGAGAGGGCGACCGGCCACACUGGGACUGAGACACGGCCCAGACUCCUACGGGAGGCAGCAGUGGGGAAUAUUGCACAAUGGGGGAAACCCUGAUGCAGCGACGCAGCGUGCGGGAUGACGGCCUUCGGGUUGUAAACCGCUUUCAGCAGGGAAGAAGCGCAAGUGACGGUACCUGCAGAAGAAGUACCGGCUAACUACGUGCCAGCAGCCGCGGUAAUACGUAGGGUACGAGCGUUGUCCGGAAUUAUUGGGCGUAAAGAGCUCGUAGGUGGUUGGUCACGUCUGCUGUGGAAACGCAACGCUUAACGUUGCGCGUGCAGUGGGUACGGGCUGACUAGAGUGCAGUAGGGGAGUCUGGAAUUCCUGGUGUAGCGGUGAAAUGCGCAGAUAUCAGGAGGAACACCGGUGGCGAAGGCGGGACUCUGGGCUGUAACUGACACUGAGGAGCGAAAGCAUGGGGAGCGAACAGGAUUAGAUACCCUGGUAGUCCAUGCCGUAAACGUUGGGCACUAGGUGUGGGGGGCAUUCCACGUUCUCCGCGCCGUAGCUAACGCAUUAAGUGCCCCGCCUGGGGAGUACGGUCGCAAGGCUAAAACUCAAAGGAAUUGACGGGGGCCCGCACAAGCGGCGGAGCAUGCGGAUUAAUUCGAUGCAACGCGAAGAACCUUACCAAGGCUUGACAUACACCGGACCGUCCUGGAAACAGGUCUUCUUCUUUGAAGCUGGUGUACAGGUGGUGCAUGGUUGUCGUCAGCUCGUGUCGUGAGAUGUUGGGUUAAGUCCCGCAACGAGCGCAACCCUCGUUCUAUGUUGCCAGCACGUGAUGGUGGGAACUCAUAGGAGACUGCCGGGGUCAACUCGGAGGAAGGUGGGGAUGACGUCAAAUCAUCAUGCCCUUUAUGUCUUGGGCUUCACGCAUGCUACAAUGGCUGGUACAGAGAGAGGCGAACCCGUGAGGGCAAGCGAGUCCCUUAAAGCCAGUCUCAGUUCGGAUCGUAGUCUGCAAUUCGACUACGUGAAGUCGGAGUCGCUAGUAAUCGCAGAUCAGCAACGCUGCGGUGAAUACGUUCCCGGGCCU
rnacentral:rRNA from 1 species